rnacentral:rRNA from 1 species
UACGUAGGGUGCAAGCGUUAAUCGGAAUUACUGGGCGUAAAGCGUGCGCAGGCGGUUAUGUAAGACAGAUGUGAAAUCCCCGGGCUCAACCUGGGAACUGCAUUUGUGACUGCACGGCUGGAGUGUGGCAGAGGGGGGUGGAAUUCCGCGUGUAGCAGUGAAAUGCGUAGAGAUGCGGAGGAACACCGAUGGCGAAGGCAGCCCCCUGGGCUGACACUGACGCUCAGGCACGAAAGCGUGGGGAGCAAACAGG